GCGACUGACGGGGCUCAGAUUAACAGGAUUAGAUACCCUGGUAGUCCACGCCCUAGACGAUGUCAACUAGCUGUUGGGGCCUUCGGGCCUUGGUAGCGCAGCUAACGCGUGAAGUUGACCGCCUGGGGAGUACGGUCGCAAGAUUAAAACUCAAAGGAAUUGACGGGGACCCGCACAAGCGGUGGAUGAUGUGGAUUAAUUCGAUGCAACGCGAAAAACCUUACCUACCCUUGACAUGUCUGGAAUGCCGAAGAGAUUUGGUAGUGCUCGCAAGAGAACCGGAACACAGGUGCUGCAUGGCUGUCGUCAGCUCGUGUCGUGAGAUGUUGGGUUAAGUCCCGCAACGAGCGCAACCCUUGUCAUUAGUUGCUACGAAAGGGCACUCUAAUGAGACUGCCGGUGACAAACCGGAGGAAGGUGGGGAUGACGUCAAGUCCUCAUGGCCCUUAUGGGUAGGGCUUCACACGUCAUACAAUGGUCGGGACAGAGGGUCGCCAACCCGCGAGGGGGAGCCAAUCCCAGAAACCCGAUCGUAGUCCGGAUCGCAGUCUGCAACUCGACUGCGUGAAGUCGGAAUCGCUAGUAAUCGCGGAUCAGCAUGUCGCGGUGAAUACGUUCCCGGGUCUUGUACACACCGCCCGUCGCACCAUGGGAGUGGGUUUUACCAGAAGUAGUUAGCCUAACCGCAAGGGGGGCGAUUACCACGGUAGGAUUCAUGACUGGGGUGAAGUCGUAACAAGGUAACCAAUC
rnacentral:rRNA from 1 species